AGAGUUUGAUCCUGGCUCAGGAUAAACGCUGGCGGCGUGCUUAAUACAUGCAAGUCGAACGGGUAGGCCUUUCGGGGGCUACCUAGUGGCGGACGGGUGAGUAACGCGUGGGGAACCUGCCCUGUACAGGGGGAUAACAGCCGGAAACGGCUGCUAAUACCGCGUAAGCCAGUGGCGCCGCAUGGCGCUGCUGGGAGAGGAGAGAUCCGGUACAGGAUGGCCCCGCGUCUGAUUAGCCAGUUGGCAGGGUAACGGCCUACCAAAGCGACGAUCAGUAGCCGAUCUGAGAGGAUGUACGGCCACAUUGGGACUGAGACACGGCCCAGGCUCCUACGGGAGGCAGCAGUAAGGGAUAUUGCACAAUGGGGGGAACCCUGAUGCAGCGACGCCGCGUGAGUGAAGAAGUAUUUCGGUAUGUAAAGCUCUAUCAGCAGGGAAGAAGUAGGACGGUACCUGAGUAAGAAGCACCGGCUAAAUACGUGCCAGCAGCCGCGGUAAUACGUAUGGUGCAAGCGUUAUCCGGAUUUACUGGGCGUAAAGGGAGCGUAGGUGGCUUGGUAAGCCGGAAGUGAAACCCCCGGGCUCAACCUGGGGCAUGCUUUUGGAACUGCCGAGCUGGAGUGCAGGAGGGGCAGGCGGAAUUCCUGGUGUAGCGGUGAAAUGCGUAGAUAUCAGGAGGAACACCGGAGGCGAAGGCGGCCUGCUGGACUGUAACUGACACUGAGGCUCGAAGGCGUGGGGAGCAAACAGGAUUAGAUACCCUGGUAGUCCACGCAGUAAACGAUGAAUACUAGAUGUCG
rnacentral:rRNA from 1 species